rnacentral:lncRNA from 1 species
AAAUUUCGUGGCCUCGAAAGCAAAGCAAAUGCACAUAGCUGUCUGAAUACGCCUUCCACAACUCCCAACGGAGUUCUAUGAUGGAAUUAUCCUCCAAAAAUAGUAAAUAUGGUGGGAAGAUUGCUAAAGAUAGCCGCAUGCACAUCUGCUACUUUAAGGGAAUGCUAUGCCAGAAUAUGCGUAGAGCUUCCUCUUGAUCAACCUGUUGUACCAGAUAUACUUAUUGGAUCCCACAGACAACAAAUUCCACACGAAGGAGAAAAUUUUCUUUGCAAAUUUUGUGGUAGGUUGGUCAAUUCGUCAAUGUUCUUAUAUUAAUUUAGUCCCAAAAAAAUAAUUCUACCCAAGAGGAACCAAGAUCAUAAUGUUCAGAAGCUUAGGAAGAACAAUGACAAACCGUGUCUUUCUUGAAGCGAAGGAACUCCAAGUCAAAUUCCAAAGUAAAGGAAGCACUAUCAAGAUCAGAAGUAAACACGGCUAUUAAUGUCAAAAUCUUUGAUGCCAUGAUAGGUAAGUAUCUAACCACAUAUUUACUAAAAUACAAAAGACGUGAUUCUCUAACUUUGUUUGACAAGGACAAAAAUAAUGUGCAUCCAAUAUCUGAUGCUAGGAAAUCUUCAUCUCAAGAAAAUCUGGUUUUAAAAAAUCAUUUUUGGUCCUUAGAUAAUCAGCCCACGGUUUAGGAUAGUUCUACCAUUAAUAAAAAAAUUAAAAAUGAUUAUUGAUGGGUUUUCAAUGUCUUAGCUUUAUACCUCUUACAUUUUGAUGAUCUAACAAAUUUGUCGUGAAGAACGAGAUAGAGAACCUACCCCACAGGAUAUACAUUUCAUGUGAACUGGUCGAAGUUUGAAAAUCGGCAAAUGGAUGAACGACCACAGAGAGGAACACAACAGGGACCUAGUGACCUGGUUCCUUAGGGUUCUCCGACACAAGCAGGUAUGUGACUGUAUUCAAUCAAUAUAAAGAGGAACACAACAGGGACAUGCUCCUUGUGGGUUCUCUGAUAGAAGUACAAGUACACAUCUGGAUCGUAGCAGAAGAAAGUGACCAUCUAGAAACUAUCAUAGAAGAGGAACACAACUAGGACCAGGUCCGUUUGUGUGUCCUAACAGAAGUACAAAGUCCACUAUAUAGCUAGAACGCAACUGCCCAGAAGUGGCUAUACAGACAGUACAGCAGGCACUUCUCAUUGGGAAGAAGUGUACACCAGGAGUUGACAUCACUGUCCAUUGUGCUAUCUUUUGUGAUGAAACAACCAGGUGAAAGACACACCAUCUUUCGUGCAUCUAGUGAUAUUCUCUCAAGAAACAAAAGUAUUCAUCUGGCAGUGAAGUCACUGGUGUGUCAAGAACAAGAAUACAACUCCACUAAGGAUCAGUUUCUAAAUGAGUUUAUGUACAUCAGUAGUUGAGUUGUAAUCUUGUUAUUUGUUCGUCAUUGUAAUUCCUAGUUUUCUUUCUUAGAAGCGUUGUCUUAGGAACAAACCAAAUUCGUAAACUUCUGAGUUUAUGUUGUGACUAGGGAUACUCAUAAGUUUAAAUCCUUUGUAACUAGGAGAGUUAUUGUGGUGGUUACAUCACAAGUUAGUUUGAUGUCUUUGCAAUAAGGUUUUUACAAAGUGGCUUGUAAUAGGUAGAUUACAAGUUAGUAGAGUUAAAAGCCUACAAGAGUAGGUCGUGAUCUUUUUAUCCCCCUGUAUGGAAUUUUUUCACGUAGAAAACUCCCUUGCCUUCUUUACAUUCAGUCUUUACUGCAUUCUACGUAUCAUCUCAUACAGGACCAGGUACUCUAUAGUUUGGUCGACUCACAUAAAUUAACAAUCGGUAUCAUAGCAGGUUUCUCCUAUCAGGUUAACACCUAGGAAGAAUCCUCAAUGGUUUCUCCACCAAACUUUGAAGAAGGACAAUCAACCUAUAUACGUCCCAGAUCCAAUGGUCAAUACUAUGACUGGUGGAAAACCCAGAUGCAUGAUUUUAUAUAAGGUAGAAGAUUUAGAGAUGUGGGACAUUAUUUGUGAUGGUCCACAUGUUUCCAUGAAGAAACUUGAAGAAACGGGAGCAUUGGUGCCUAAAGAGAGAAGAGAGUACAACCACAUCAACAGAAAAGCUGUAGGAAAGAACUAUCGUGCCAAGAAAAUCUUGAUGUGUGGCAUAGGACCUGAUGAGUACAAUAGAGUAUCAGCUUGUGAUACUGCCCAAGAAAUAUGGGAAGCCUUACAAACUGCACCAGAAGGAACAACUCAAGUAAAACAAUCUAAGAUUGACAUGCUCACCACUGAAUACGAGCUUUUCAGGAUGAAGGAUGAUGAGUCCAUACAAGAUAUGCACAACAUACUCACUUCCAUCAUAAAUGAACUUCAUUCACUUGGAGACGUCAUUACCAGAAAUAAGCUCGUAAGGAAAAUCCUCAGCAUCCUACCUGGGUCUUGGGAAAGUAAGGUGAAUGCCAUCACGGAAGCUAAAGAUCUAAAAACUCUGACCACGUAUGAGCUGAUUGGUAAUUUGAAAACUAACGAGAUGAAAAGAAAGAAAGACAGUGAAAGAAGAGAGCCAUAUGGGAAGCCUUACAAAUAGCACACAAAGGAACUACUCAGGUCAAACACUCCAAGAUCGAGAUGCUUGAAUAUGAGCUAUUCAGGAUGAAGGAUGUCUUACAAAUAGCACACAAAGGAACUACUCAAGUCGAACACUCCAAGAUCGACAUGCUUGAAUAUGAGCUAUUCAGGAUGAAGGAUGAUGAGUCCAUACAAGAUAUGCACACCAGAUUCACCUUCAUCAUAAAGGAGCUUCACUCACUUGGAGAUGUCAUUUCCAGAAACAAGCUUGUAAGGAAAAUCCCUAGUGUUCUACCUGGGUCUUGGAAAGUAAGGUAAAUGCCAUCACUGAAGCUAAAUAUCUAUAGACUCUGACCAUGGAUAAGUUGAUUGGUAAUUUGAAUACAUACGAGAUGAAAAGAAAGAAAGACAUAGAAAUAAGAGAGUCUAAGAAGGAAAAGAACCGGUGCUUAACGCUGAAAGCAGUGAUUCAAGUGAUGAAGAUAGUGACAUGGCCUAUCUUGCUAAGAGAUUUCAAAAGAUGGUUCGAAGAAAUGGUGGUAUACCAAAGUGGCAGUUCAAGUAAAACAAGAAACAAUGAUCUCUGUCACGGAUGUGGAAAGUCAGGGCAUUUCAUCAAAGACUUCCCACUCGCAAAACUGGAGCAAUACAAGCAGAAUCCUGACAAAGCAGGAAAAAGGAACCUGGUUCCAGAUAAAAGAUUCAAUCGAAAAAGUGUUGCAGACAAUAUCGUUAAGCAUGUUUUUACUGCUUGGGGAAACUCCUCGAGUGAAUCCGAAAGGGAAUGAGAUGCAGAAAAUAGCUCCAUGAUGGCAAUAGAAACUGAAGCAAUGAAGUACGAUUCACUGUUCGUAAUGAUAGCUCGGUCAGAUGAUGAUUGAUGAAGAAGAUGAAGACGACAAGGCAAACUACAGGGAUGUUCAGAGAAAUCUGAAAUCUUAUUCUUCUAAGAAGUUAAAGUCUUUAUCUAAUGUACUAAUUGAUGCCUAUUAUAGCCUUGAAAAUGAUAAGAAAUCCUGACCAUAGAACUAGGAGAGGUCGAAUAAUCUAGAGAUGAGCUAGUGGUCUGUGUAGUAGACUUAAAUAAGACCAUAGCUAAUCUUGAACAAGAAAAGAAAGCCUUGAAUGAAAUAAUAAGUAGUGUGGAAAAUGAGAGAGACGAUCUAAUCUAAAAGAAAUAAUAGAAUGCCUUAACAAUGAGAAACACACCUUAGAAGAAAAAGUUGCAUCUACUGCAGAGGAAAGGGAUGAUAAUAUGCGCUGACUUAGAGGAAACCAUUGAGGAACUCAAUAGAGAGCAUAGGAAUGUAAGUCUUGGGAAAGGGAAGGAAGUAGCCAGUGAGGCGCACAUCAUGCUUGAAAAAGAGUUAACUAUUGUACAAACCAGUCCUUACAAUGAACUCGAAACAAAUCAGCAACUCCAAGCUGAGUUGGAGAAAGUAAGAAAUGAUCUUGAGAAAUUCCUGAAGUGGACCUGGCCCUCAGAUGUUGUCACUGCCAUGUAUCUCAACAAUAGUAUAAACAAGCAGGGCAUCGGGUUCCAAAGAAAGAGAACUCCCUACAACUCGCACAGCAAGUAUGUCACUAUACCUUAUAACUGGCAAUGUACCCACUGUGGGAACAGCGGGCAUUUUAAAAAGAAUUGCUAGGCCAGGAUUCAGUCUGCUUCGAAGAACAAAGUGUUUAGUGAUAUAGUGACUACUAACAAAGGACCAGGUACCACUCGCAAAAGGCGGAUGUUGCCUGAUGGACUAGGAAAUCCCUAAUUCAUCCUUUUUAUAAUAACAAGGGACUCAAACUAGUUUGGGUUCCUAAAUCUAACUCUUAAUGUGCAUGAGUAGGGAACAGCGAGAGGAAGCGGACUACGAUGGACUAUGGACAGUGGAUGCUUAAAGCAUGUCACACCUCCUUUUUUACACCCCGAAUGGAAUAUAAGUGAGUUUUUUCAGUUAAAGUGACAUUAUUCGAAAUUGGAUUAUUUAUUUGAUUUCAGAGUCACCACUUAGGAUAUUUAUGGUGUCCCAAGUUACCGAUUUAUUUUUAAAUCCCAAACGAGGAAAUUUUCGACUUUUGUUUAAGGUCUGCGAACCAAAAAUUCUAGAUAAGGAAUUCUGUUAACUCGGGAGAAGGCGUUAGGCAUUCUCGGGUUCCGUGGUUCUAGCACGGUCACUUAACAAUUUAUACUUGACUUAAUUAUUAUAUUACUCAUUUUUAAGUCCUAUGUGCAAUUAUCUUUUUACCACUUUUAAUCACAUGAUUUAUUCAUAAUUAAAGAAUUGAGUUACGCUUACGUAUACUCUUUUCUUUUGGCGCGUCAAAACCAUAUCAUGCGAAUAUGUCCACGAUUAAUAACGUUUUUAUUGAUUUAUUAAGAAAAUUUGGUUGAAGUUGCGUGUACGCAUCCCUCGAAUCUUUUUAGAGUUAAAUUUGUAAUUAUGUUACGCGAACAUAUAUAUAAUCACAAUACUAGUCUAAAUCGAUCAUAAAGCAAAUUACGAGUUCAACGCAAUUUUUAUACUAAUAUUUUAUUUAUGUGAGGGCCUAUGGGUCAGUUGUGGAAAAGAAAAUGGCUAGCAACAUGGUCAUUACUUGGAGCCUUAACGAAAUUAAAAAUGGCCAUCGAUAAAUAUGUUGGAGGCCUCUAUAAUCCAUAUAAAGUCUUACAUCCAAUAUGGCCCAACCUUCCAUUAAAUUACUAAUAACUAGUACUUGAAAAUAGAUUAAAAUCCUAGGCCUGAACAGAUAGAUAUCGAUAGAACAAAAUGGUCUCAAAAUGAAGAUUAAAUGGAAUCAAGGCGUGAUGAAAAUGAACAACCAUUAAUUCUUGUAGAAACCGGUUAUACAUUAAUUUCACAUAUCAUUGUCUCCAUAAGACAAAUUUAUCAUAAAGAAAAUAAUUCACAUAUACCGUAACAUGAAAAGUAACAAAUUAAUAUAAAUUUAUCCAUGAGAUUAACCAUACGAACUACCAAAAAGGGACAACGGACCAAUCUUAAAACAUACUCAGCAGGAGAACAAAUCAAUCUUAGCAUACUAGUCCAUUUUAUAAUCCAGCCCAUUAUUAAUAAUACCCAGGUCCAAACUACCAAUAAAGCUCUUAAGCUUAAAAAAAAGGAGGGGCAACUACUGAAGCAAGUUCAAUGCUAAUACAGUAGGCAAAGAAAUGAAGAAUAACAAAGUAUUUUUGCAAAAAUAAGAAUCAAUGCACCACAAUAAAAUCAAGGUGCAUUCAUAGUUUGUCUAAAAAAAUCGAUAUGAGUAAAACAUAAAUUUUAUAUCUUCAACACAAAACAAAAUAGAAAGUAAGGUCAAGAAAUGGACCUUCAAUGUUUAUUUGCUGAAAGAGAUCUACAGCAGUUGAAAAUGAGCAUAACAACAAUGAUUUCAUAGUAUAGUGAUAGGAAAUCACAAGCGACAGAAGCCGAAGGAACCUCAGUUGCGACAUGUACGUCUUUGUGUCGUUUUUGGAACUUGUGGCGUCGUUUUGGAAAUAGAAGUGAGGGUCAUUUCUGGUUGGGUUUAGUACUGGUUUCAAGAUGGUCUUACAGCUGUUUGUUGGAGGAAAAGUAGCUGGUAGGAGAUGGUAUAGUUACGACGGAGACAGCGCUAUUUUUAGGAUGUUUCGAAACUAUUUUCGGAGCUGUUUGGUGGAGUUUUUCAGCUCAUUUUUGGGUUGUUUUUACUGCUUUUUGGCCUAAUGUGCACUUAGUUUAAUGGAGGAUUCAGGGUAUUUAAUGGUGUUUGAGAUGAUGGAGAAGAUGGCUGGUUUUUGAUGGAUUAUCGUGGCUGAUUUAAGAGGUGUUUAAGGAUGGAACUUUCGUUGGUUUUGAAAACUUCAUGUAGUGGUGUUAAUGGAGGUUUGGGGUGGAUUUUAAUUGGGAAAGAUAAGCUCUCAUGGCCCUUUCAUGGUGGAUCUAAAGCUCUAGACCUAGGAUUUUUAUUAGGAAGAAGGUCCUCUUUUCGUUGGCUCCUCCAGAAGAAGAAGAUGAACUGUAGCUCUUAUUUUUCGUUCUCUGUUUCUUUUUGUUCUCUUUUUUCGUCUGUUUCCCGUCCUCCUUUUGCUUUGGCCUGUGUGUAGUUUAGAUGGGUGUGUGAAUAUAGUAUCCAAAAUAUGAGCAAAUGAGUGGAUAUUUCUUGGGAGGAAUCUUUCUCUCUUUCCAAUGCACGCCAAAAAGAAAAAUCUUGGGUGUAAGUACGCAAAAAUUGGAUAAACAUUGGAAAAAAU